GAUGAACGCUGGCGGCGUGCCUAAUACAUGCAAGUCGAGCGAACGGACGAGAAGCUUGCUUCUCUGAUGUUAGCGGCGGACGGGUGAGUAACACGUGGAUAACCUACCUAUAAGACUGGGAUAACUUCGGGAAACCGGAGCUAAUACCGGAUAAUAUUUUGAACCGCAUGGUUCAAAAGUGAAAGACGGUCUUGCUGUCACUUAUAGAUGGAUCCGCGCUGCAUUAGCUAGUUGGUAAGGUAACGGCUUACCAAGGCAACGAUGCAUAGCCGACCUGAGAGGGUGAUCGGCCACACUGGAACUGAGACACGGUCCAGACUCCUACGGGAGGCAGCAGUAGGGAAUCUUACGCAAUGGGCGAAAGCCUGACGGAGCAACGCCGCGUGAGUGAUGAAGGUCUUCGGAUCGUAAAACUCUGUUAUUAGGGAAGAACAUAUGUGUAAGUAACUGUGCACAUCUUGACGGUACCUAAUCAGAAAGCCACGGCUAACUACGUGCCAGCAGCCGCGGUAAUACGUAGGUGGCAAGCGUUAUCCGGAAUUAUUGGGCGUAAAGCGCGCGUAGGCGGUUUUUUAAGUCUGAUGUGAAAGCCCACGGCUCAACCGUGGAGGGUCAUUGGAAACUGGAAAACUUGAGUGCAGAAGAGGAAAGUGGAAUUCCAUGUGUAGCGGUGAAAUGCGCAGAGAUAUGGAGGAACACCAGUGGCGAAGGCGACUUUCUGGUCUGUAACUGACGCUGAUGUGCGAAAGCGUGGGGAUCAAACAGGAUUAGAUACCCUGGUAGUCCACGCCGUAAACGAUGAGUGCUAAGUGUUAGGGGGUUUCCGCCCCUUAGUGCUGCAGCUAACGCAUUAAGCACUCCGCCUGGGGAGUACGACCGCAAGGUUGAAACUCAAAGGAAUUGACGGGGACCCGCACAAGCGGUGGAGCAUGUGGUUUAAUUCGAAGCAACGCGAAGAACCUUACCAAAUCUUGACAUCCUUUGACAACUCUAGAGAUAGAGCUUUCCCCUUCGGGGGACAAAGUGACAGGUGGUGCAUGGUUGUCGUCAGCUCGUGUCGUGAGAUGUUGGGUUAAGUCCCGCAACGAGCGCAACCCUUAAGCUUAGUUGCCAUCAUUAAGUUGGGCACUCUAAGUUGACUGCCGGUGACAAACCGGAGGAAGGUGGGGAUGACGUCAAAUCAUCAUGCCCCUUAUGAUUUGGGCUACACACGUGCUACAAUGGACAAUACAAAGGGCAGCGAAACCGCGAGGUCAAGCAAAUCCCAUAAAGUUGUUCUCAGUUCGGAUUGUAGUCUGCAACUCGACUACAUGAAGCUGGAAUCGCUAGUAAUCGUAGAUCAGCAUGCUACGGUGAAUACGUUCCCGGGUCU
rnacentral:rRNA from 1 species